AAAAUGGCACUUUUUGAUUCAUUCGAAUAAAAAUGUUAUUAAAAGUUUGUUGGAUCGGAUCGGUUGCAAAAUUAUGCAGACCAUUUUACCUCUGAACUAUCUGCUUACUAGGUGAUCAAGCACUGAAAUCGUCAAGCGAAGAAUCCAGUGAAGAUGCAAGCCUCGAAGAAGUGGUGGGAUCUGAAGAAAGUGGGGAAUCGAUAUAUGAGAUUGAAGGAGUUGAGCAACAGGAACCUGAUCCUGCAACCUAAUCCAAUAUUCUAACUAUAAAUUAUUUUUUCGGUUUAGCUCAAAAAGACGUCUUGCUUAAACUACAAAUUGUGUUUAUAAACUGAACACUAAAAUUUUAGUAUCGCCAAUUUCCAGAUUGGCAAAAGGCUUGGUUCCCACUGCAAAAGAUCGAAAGCCGAUGACGACUUGAAAGAAUUUGUCAAAUUCCCUUUCUAAAUGAUCGGUUAACAAAGUAGCUAGAAUUUCGUCAUUAUCAAUGACUAAAUAAAGUUUUGGAAGAA
rnacentral:lncRNA from 1 species